AGGCCUUGACAUGGGAUGCGAAGGCUAAGAGAUUAGCUGGAGGUUACCAUCCACACAGGUGGUGCAUGGUUGUCGUCAGCUCGUGUCGUGAGAUGUUCAGUUAAGUCUGGCAACGAGCGCAACCCCUGUGAUAUGUUGCUACCAUCAAGUUGAGGACUCAUAUCAGACUGCCGGUGACAAACCGGAGGAAGGCGGGGAUGACGUCAAAUCAUCAUGCCCCUUAUGGCCUGGGCUACACACGUACUACAAUGGCGUCUACAGCAGGAGGCGAGCCAGUGAUGGCAAGCGAAACGGCAAAAGGCGUCUCAGUUCGGAUUGAAGCCUGCAACCCGGCUUCAUGAAGGUGGAAUCGCUAGUAAUCGCGGAUCAGCAUGCCGCGGUGAAUACGUUCCCGGGCC
rnacentral:rRNA from 1 species